UACGAAGGGGGCAAGCGUUGUCCGGAUUUAUUGGGUUUAAAGGGUGCGUAGGCGGCCCUGUAAGUCAGUGGUGAAAUACCUCAGCUCAACUGAGGGGGUGCCAUUGAUACUGCAGGGCUUGAGUACAGAUGAGGUAGGCGGAAUUGACGGUGUAGCGGUGAAAUGCAUAGAUAUCGUCAAGAACACCGAUAGCGAAGGCAGCUUACCAAGCUGUAACUGACGCUGAGGCACGAAAGUGUGGGGAUCAAACAGG
rnacentral:rRNA from 1 species